AUACAGAGGGUGCGAGCGUUAAUCGGAAUUACUGGGCGUAAAGCGCGCGUAGGCGGUCUAUUAAGUCAGAUGUGAAAUCCCAGGGCUCAACCUUGGAACUGCAUCUGAUACUGGUAAGCUAGAGUUUUGGAGAGGGAAGUAGAAUUUCAGGUGUAGCGGUGAAAUGCAUAGAGAUCUGAAGGAAUACCAGUGGCGAAGGCGACUUCCUGGCCAAAAACUGACGCUGAGGUGCGAAAGCGUGGGUAGCAAACGGGAUUAGAAACCCAAGUAGUCC
rnacentral:rRNA from 1 species